UAUUUCUCAGGGCUGUGUCGCUGCUGGGCCAGGAAGUCCUUCUUCCUGGGGCCAGGUCGCUGCUGGGCCGAGACGUCCCUUCCCCUUGGGGCCGGGUCACUGCUGGGCCGGGACGUCCCUUCCCCUCACAGCCAGGACGCUGCUGGGUUGGGAGGUCCCUUCCCCUCAGGGCCGGGAUGCUGCUGGGUUGGGACAUCCCUUCUCCCUGAAGCCAGGUCACUGCUGGGCCGGGAGGUCCCUUCCCCUCGGGGCCAGGACACUGCUGGGCCGGGAGGUCCCUUCCCCUCAGGGCCGGGAUGCUGCUGGGCUGGGAGGUCCCUUCCCCUCGGGGCCAGGACACUGCUGGGCCGGGAGGUCCCUUCCCCUCUGGGCCGGGAUGCUGCUGGGUUGGGACAUCCCUUCUCCCUGAAGCCAGGACGCUGCUGGGCCGGGAGGUCCCUUCUUCCUGAAGCCAGGACGCUGCUGGGCCGGGAGGUCCCUUCUCCCCGGGUCUGGGCUGCCCUGUCUCUGUUCCCAAGCCCAGAGGCACUGGAGCCGGCUGCAGUGCAAUGAGGCCAGGCUGCAGCUGCAGC